rnacentral:rRNA from 1 species
GUCCUAGCCGUAAACGUUGGGUGCUAGGUGUGGGGCGGCGAUUGACCCGCUCUGUGCCGAAGCUAACGCAUUAAGCACCCCGCCUGGGGAGUACGGCCGCAAGGUUAAAACUCAAAGGAAUUGACGGGGGCCCGCACAAGCGGCGGAGCAUGUGGCUUAAUUCGACGCGACGCGAAGAACCUUACCAGGGCUUGACAUGCGGGGUGAAGCCGGCGAAAAGCCGGUCCUCCUUCGGGAGCCCGUACAGGUGCUGCAUGGUCGUCGU